GAUGCUGAGGUACAACCUUUUCCGGUAUAUGUUUCCACUAAUCUUUCCCAGUUAUUCUUAGGCUUCCAUGUAGGAGAGGUUCAUUGUUCUUUUCAAGGUUCGUGUUAUUGAUUUGUCUCGUUUAAAUGGCAUAAGGUGCAAGGAAAUUUCUUUGGAACUAGCUGCAGUUCCAACCGUGUCAUGAAUUUGUGUGUUGCUCCUAUUCCGAAUGGUGACAUGUCGUUAUUGUUGAUGAUUUAGUGCAAUCUUCUGGAACUCUUAGAAAAUGCCAGUUACCAUUCUGUUGCAAUCGAUGACUGGUUUGCUUCCUCUUACAAUUUUUGUUUAAAUUCUAUAGCAUGUUGACUUAUACAGUACAAGACAUACUUCCCUAAAAGUUUGACACGCCAGAGCUCAUUGUGUAACCACUUCCCUAACAUUUUGAUACACAGGAGCUAAUGAUUUCAGCUUCAACGCUCGACUUGUCAAGUCAACAAAUGUUCACUUUCAGCGGGACAGUGGGCGAGAUGAGUGGUUCGACUCCCUUCCCUGGCGCGAGCGACAAUCUCCACCAAGAAGACAUGAAUGUUGCAUCGAGGGUUCGUCAUUAUGUAUGUCCUGAUAAUGAAUUCUUCAGUAAAUAGGUUCAGAGAUGAGGAUCCAGAGAAAAUAUAUCCUCGGUCAUCUUUUUGUGUCAAUAGUAAAGGUGAGAUCCCAAGCUUUCUCUUAUCAUGACCACUGCCCAUGAAUUCGGGUGAUGCCGCCUUAUUGAAAAAAGGUUCAUGAGAGAAGGUAGUCAUUGGUGUUCCUGCCGAGACCAUCAAAUGUCUGUUCAGAAUGGUGAUGUGACUCUCCUUUGGUGACUAUGGCAGUGGAAAAAGGCGCCUAAAAUGUGUUUUGCGAUGUCUGCUUUUGGUUUCAACGUAGGGUUCUGGACUAAUUACUUUCUUGACUAACCUGAAUUCACUUCUUCCAGGGGUGACAUUCAGCUGCAUGACAUAAUCUUGGCACUAUAUCAGUGGCAUCCUUUGCAACAACUGAUAGCUAUAUUCUUGAUACUAAUAUAUUACUGUAUCAGCAACAUGAAUGAAUCAAAUCAAAAUCUUCUUUCAAUAGUAAAUGGUGCUUGUGUUGCAUCUUGUGAAAACCACAAUUACAGUGUUGAUGAAGAAACCAACUCAUCUGAGAUCAAAUCAGCAAACAAGGUAGCAUAUCUUCUAAUUAGGUUUGUAUUCUCCAAGUUUCUUUCAUUCAAUUCUUUAACUUGCACUUUCAGGUUUCAAACAUUUUUAUGGUUGUUCAGAUGAAAAGAAUGGCGAUCAUGAUUUUACUUGUCCUCUCAAUAAUAUGGCACAAAAACCCAAUAAUUGUGCUCGAGAUACAAGAAAAUGGCCAAAAGCAAGCAUCACAGUUUAUGGACCUGACAUGGUUAUCUAUUUAACUUUUGAUAUGAUAUCUUGUGUGGGCUAUAUUCUUCCGCAACAGAGUCACUAGAGAGGACAUCUGAGUUCUUCUUUUGGAAAGUUAUAUGGUCAACUGAUGCAUAUUUAUUGAUCUUUCAAUUUAUUACCAGAUAAUAAUGCCACUUCCGGUAAAUCGUCUUUCGAAACUGGCUCAAGUGAGAUCAAUAUUGAGCACAAGCGGAGAAGAAUUCCAUCAGUUUCAGCAUCAUUACUACUUGGUGGGGUGCUUUUUCUUUUGGAAAUUCUACUGCUUGUUUACUGUGCAAAACCUAUCUUAGGCUUCAUGGGUGUGAAAGCGGCAAAUGUUCCUUCAUGCCAUUUUUUUCCUUUUGAUAUUGUGUACUACUUUAUUUCAGCACAAAU